UUUCUCCCCCCGCCCCCCCCACCGCCCCGCCUCAGGUUUUUGCUCCAGGGUCUCAGAGAAGCCUUUCUUAGUCCCCGUGUCUAAAACUGCAUUGUUGUCACUUUAUGGUCAUGCCAAGCUUGCUUUGGCUUUCUUCCUGUGAAUCACUACCUAACAGCAGAGGAUGUGUUUCCAUGUUUAUAUAUUUUCUGUCUCUUUCCCACUUGAUCUGAGCACUGUGAGGCAGUGACUCUGCACCAGGCAUCUGGGGCAGUGCUCAGUGCAUAGCAGGGCUUCCAUGUUUAUUAAUUCACUAAGACUUCCUCCUACACAGGAGGAGCCCUGACAGGUUCUGCAGGCAGCUCUGGGCCCCACAGGUUUCGAGGAGAAGCUGGCUGGCAAACGGAGUCCCUGAACACAGAGCCCAGCACUUGAUCUCUGUCCGCACUGCUGCCCACUUCUCAAAGGAGGCCCUGGGGGACCUGGAUGCCCAGGAGGCAGCAAGGUCUGCCAGCUCUCACAUCCGGCUGGUCCCUGUCCGGAGGGAACAAAGGACACCUCGAGAUUCAAAGGAGGAUGGGCUGGGUGUGCACAGGGAGGUGGUGCUGAUGGAGGUGAGUGAGUACCACUCUUGGAGCGAGACGCUUGGGUUCAAGUGCUGGCUGCUCACUAACCGGCUGUGUGACCUUGGGCAUGUCUGUUGCUUUUCUUUUUUUUUGUCUUUUUUUUUCUAGGGCUACACCACAGCUCACGGCAAUGCCGGAUCCUUAACCCACUGAGCAAGGCCAGGGAUGGAACCUGCAACCUCAUGGUUCCUAGUCGGAUUCGUUAACCACUGCGCCACGACGGGAACUCCCUCUGUCGCUUUUCUAAUGAACAGUCUUUCCAUCUCUAUAAUGGAAUAUUAUCAUAUCAUCAUUCCCGCCUCCUGGACCCAGUAUGAGGAUUAAAUGAGUCAGGGCAUGUGACAUGCUUGGAAUUGUGACAGGGGUUGAGUAAGGCCUCAAAGGUCACCAUGAGUACUAGGCUCCUGGGACUCAGAAGACAGAAAGCCUGAGCCUUGGUUCCUGUCCUCCUCCCCACCCCACUUGCACAGGGAGGAACCAACUAGAAUGAGCCCGGACCGUUCCAUUCUGGACCCGUGCUGUGCUCUGUUCCCACCCCAUCUGCGCACUGCACUGCUAGGCUUUGGGUCUGCUUUCUGCCUUGUAACUGGCUCCACCUCCUCCCCACUUUUUUUCUCUUUUUCUUUUUAUGAUUUAUGAAGUUUUAAUUUUCAUUUUAUUUAUUUAUUUAUUUAUUUUGUCUUUUCUAGGGCCGCACCCGCGGCAC
rnacentral:lncRNA from 1 species